CCUACGGGCGGCUGCAGUGGGGAAUAUUGGGCAAUGGGCGAAAGCCUGAUCCAGCCAUGCCGCGUGUGUGAAGAAGGCCUUCGGGUUGUAAAGCACUUUCAGUGGGGAAGAAAGCCUUGGGGCUAAUACCCUCGAGGAAGGACAUCACCCACAGAAGAAGCACCGGCUAACUCCGUGCCAGCAGCCGCGGUAAUACGGAGGGUGCGAGCGUUAAUCGGAAUUACUGGGCGUAAAGCGCGCGUAGGCGGUCUGAUAAGCCGGUUGUGAAAGCCCCGGGCUCAACCUGGGAACGGCAUCCGGAACUGUCAGGAUAGAGUGCAGGAGAGGAAGGUAGAAUUCCCGGUGUAGCGGUGAAAUGCGUAGAGAUCGGGAGGAAUACCAGUGGCGAAGGCGGCCUUCUGGACUGACACUGACGCUGAGGUGCGAAAGCGUGGGUAGCAAACAGGAUUAGAUACCCUUGUAGUC
rnacentral:rRNA from 1 species